UACGUAGGGCGCAAGCGUUGUCCGGAAUUAUUGGGCGUAAAGAGCUCGUAGGCGGUUUGUCGCGUCUGGUGUGAAAACUCAAGGCUCAACCUUGAGCUUGCAUCGGGUACGGGCAGACUAGAGUGUGGUAGGGGUGACUGGAAUUCCUGGUGUAGCGGUGGAAUGCGCAGAUAUCAGGAGGAACACCGAUGGCGAAGGCGGGUCUCUGGGCAUUAACUGACGCUGAGGAGCGAAAGCAUGGGGAGCGAACAGG
rnacentral:rRNA from 1 species